AGGUUACUGCUAUCGGUGUUCGCCUAAGCCAUGCGAGUCAUAUGUUCUUCGUGAACAUGGCGUACUGCUCAGUAACACGUGGAUAACCUGCCCUUGGGUCCGGCAUAACCCCGGGAAACUGGGGAUAAUUCCGGAUAACGCACAUAUGCUGGAAUGCUUUAUGCGUCAAAUGGAUUCGUCCGCCCAAGGAUGGGUCUGCGGCCUAUCAGGUAGUAGUGGGUGUAAUGUACCUACUAGCCUACGACGGGUACGGGUUGUGAGAGCAAGAGCCCGGAGAUGGAUUCUGAGACAUGAAUCCAGGCCCUACGGUGCGCAGCAGGCGCGAAAACUUUACAAUGCGGGAAACCGUGAUAAGGGGACACCGAGUGCCAGCAUCAUAUGCUGGCUGUCCGGGUGUGUAAAAUACACCUGUUAGCAAGGGCCGGGCAAGACCGGUGCCAGCCGCCGCGGUAACACCGGCGGCCCGAGUGGUGAUCGUGAUUAUUGGGUCUAAAGGGUCCGUAGCCGGUUUGGUCAGUCCUCCGGGAAAUCUGACGGCUUAACCGUUAGGCUUUCGGGGGAUACUGCCAGACUUGGAACCGGGAGAGGUAAGAGGUACUACAGGGGUAGGAGUGAAAUCUUGUAAUCCCUGUGGGACCACCUGUGGCGAAGGCGUCUUACCAGAACGGGUUCGACGGUGAGGGACGAAAGCUGGGGGCACGAACCGGAUUAGAUACCCGGGUAGUCCCAGCCGUAAACGAUGCUCGCUAGGUGUCAGGCAUGGCGCGACCGUGUCUGGUGCCGCAGGGAAGCCGUGAAGCGAGCCACCUGGGAAGUACGGCCGCAAGGCUGAAACUUAA
rnacentral:rRNA from 1 species